UGGGGAAUAUGCACAAUGGGCGCAAGCCUGAUGCAGCCAUGCCGCGUGUAUGAAGAAGGCCUUCGGGUUGUAAAGUACUUUCAGCGGGGAGGAAGGGAGUAAAGUUAAUACCUUUGCUCAUUGACGUUACCCGCAGAAGAAGCACCGGCUAACUCCGUGCCAGCAGCCGCGGUAAUACGGAGGGUGCAAGCGUUAAUCGGAAUUACUGGGCGUAAAGCGCACGCAGGCGGUUUGUUAAGUCAGAUGUGAAAUCCCCGGGCUCAACCUGGGAACUGCAUCUGAUACUGGCAAGCUUGAGUCUCGUAGAGGGGGGUAGAAUUCCAGGUGUAGCGGUGAAAUGCGUAGAGAUCUGGAGGAAUACCGGUGGCGAAGGCGGCCCCCUGGACGAAGACUGACGCUCAGGUGCGAAAGCGUGGGGAGCAAACAGG
rnacentral:rRNA from 1 species